rnacentral:rRNA from 1 species
GAUAGAGGCCUACCAUGGUGGUAACGGGUAACGGGGUGUUAGGGCACGACACCGGAGAGGGAGCCUGAGAAACGGCUACCACAUCCAAGGAUGGCAGCAGGCGCGCAAAUUACCCAAUCCCGACACGGGGAGGUAGUGACAAUAAAUAACAAUACGGGGUUCUUUCGGAUCUCGUAAUUGGAAUGAGUACAAUUUAAAUCUCUUAACGAGGAACAAUUGGAGGGCAAGUCUGGUGCCAGCAGCCGCGGUAAUUCCAGCUCCAAUAGCGUAUAUUAAAGUUGUUGCAGUUAAAAAGCUCGUAGUUGAAUUUCGGGGUUAGUAGGUUGGUCAUGCCUCUGGUAUGUACUGGUCUCACUGAUUCCUCCUUCCUUAUGAACCGUAAUGCCAUUAAUUUGGUGUUGCGGGGAAUUUGGACUGUUACUUUGAAAAAAUUAGAGUGUUUAAAGCAAGCUAACGCUUGAAUACAUUAGCAUGGAAUAAUGAAAUAGGACGUUCGAUCUUAUUUUGUUGGUUUCUAGGAUUGACGUAAUGAUUAAUAGGGAUAGUUGGGGGCAUUAGUAUUCAAUUGUCAGAGGUGAAAUUCUUGGAUUUAUUGAAGACUAACUACUGCGAAAGCAUUUGCCAAGGAUGUUUUCAUUAAUCAAGAACGAAGGUUAGGGGAUCGAAGACGAUCAGAUACCGUCGUAGUCUUAACCAUAAACUAUGCCGACUAGGGAUCGGAUGA